CUUCACGACGCGCGAUAUUCCGGUCGACGAUAAGAAAUCAGUCACUUUCCCGUCGUUUCUCAGUUGCUUAGCCAUUGCGAAUAGCGGGACGGCGGCACGUGAUAAUGGAACAAGCUCAAUGUAUAUGCACCUGCUGCUGCCGAAUCCGCGGUACUUAUAACGAACGGCCAUCGUCGAUGGUAACCAAACACUUGUUCUGACCAGCGUUGGAAAGGUGCGAUAAGUGCUAGGCAUUGCACGCGAUAGUGGUUGCAGGAACCACUUUAUCUCUCUUUGUUGCUACUUUAGCCAAAGUGCAUCAGACACUCGGUAGUCAUAAGCUCGAUGAAACACCACUGCGCUCUUGUGCGAGAGUAGGACUCGUGCCUGAGGACAACGGCAUACCGGAUCAUGGACAGGGACGGGUGUACCGUUUUCAAGACCACGUCGUCGCCAGCGUCAAUUGGCGACCGACGCGCUUCGACGGCGAGGUGCCGAAUUCACGUGUAUGCGGCCGCUGCCGCGUGAUCCCAAGACGUACCAUGCUGUUGCCGUGCGGUCAACGCUCUGUGCCUGUCUUGCCACGCAGCCAUUUUCGAAGGGGGCGUUGGGCAGUGUCCAUUGGAUCAAGAGCCAUUCGAAGAAGCGGAGUGCUUUGGUUAUGAAUUACCUACCAGGAAAGCGAGCACCUUGAAGGGUGUAUUGCUGAAACGAAGCGCACGGCUGCGAGUACACGGGCACCAUGGAGCGUGUACUGGAACACUACGAGACCGAACGCACGUUUCACGCCGUGGAGUGUUUGCGACGGGGCGAGGGAGUCCAGCACAAAGACCUGUCAACGCACUACGUGGCCGGAUGCACUGCCCGUGUUUCUGCCGCGAUCACAGAGUGCCCGUCCUCGGAACCUACAGCUCUGACCCUUGAAGACGUGAACGCUGCCCUUGAAGACCUGAAGACGGUGUUGGGGGACGCCAACCAUGACCGGCUGCUGCCAGUGAUUCAGAAUCAGUUGAAUGAGCUUACAGAACAAGUCAGAAGCCAGGAAACUAGAUUCGCAGGGAUUACUCGUGAUAUCGGAGCAUCCGAUCUCACAUUUUAAAGGGUGACGGGGCUCAAAUGACCACCACGAUCUCAUUAACCGUGUCGCACCAGCUGACUUUUCUGAGAAACGCGACGGAAGAAGCCAGCACGUCGUCGUCGCUGUCGUUGCACGCGGAAAAGGCGCUGAUACUUCUAAGGUUCGAACACUUAGCCGACCUGGAACACUCGCGGCAAACUUCCCCGAAGCCUGAUUCCAAUCAUGUAAUUAUGUAAUUACUCAUUGUAAGAGUUUGUACGGUGGCGUUCGGCAUUUAACCAGCGCGAUAUCAAUGACAGCCACACGGAUUAGAAAAAUUGGAAGAGUGCUUUAUGUCCUGAUCCUGGAAAACUGUGACGUAAUCAUUCAGCGGCAGGGAUCGAGGAAAAAGUUUGCCUAGAUUAUGGUGUGACACAUGAGGAACGCGUACUUUCCUGUUGCUAUCUUGAAGGGCUGGGGUAUGUGUGGGCCUGCUCUCACUGUGGAGAUCGAGUUUAACGGGUUGCUGGUGGACUCCAGGUGUUCGCCGCCUUUUUGGCACGUGAGCGUGUGGGAUAGUGUAAUACACAAGCAUUGUUCGUUUACUUCCCGUGCCAUGCCUUGUUUCUGCGACCGCUAUGAUGACUCAUUGCUGCACUUUCACCUAGAAUUCCAUAUAGGUAUUGCCUCACCGAAAAAUGAUGGUUUCCUCCGACACGGAAAGACGAAGUUCGAACUCUUGCUCAACGAUAGAGAAAUGGACGGUGGUGUCAAAAGAGCACGCUAACGUUCAUCCUCGCAGAAUGUGUACUGCACUACUGGAUGGUCCUUGCCACUUCCCAUGUGUGGGACAUGAGCUUAUCGAACUUUUGAUGUCCUUACUCCUUAAUGAAAUUGGCUCUGCGAAAUGUUUUAAUUUUUAUGCUUUUUAACUGUGUAACCUUUAACUUUUUACCUUUUAAC